rnacentral:tRNA from 1 species
GCCCGUGUGGUGGAAUUGGUAGACACGCAUGCCUUAGGAGCAUGUGCCAAUCGGCUUGCUGGUUCGACUCCAGUCGCGGGCACCA